AGCGGGGUGGGGUAGUCAGGAUAUCCCGACGGGCUCNNGUGGUUCAAAUCCACUCCCCGCUA
rnacentral:tRNA from 1 species